rnacentral:rRNA from 1 species
CCUACGGGCCGCACCAGUGGGGAAUAUUGGACAAUGGGCGAAAGCCUGAUCCAGCAAUGCCGCGUGUGUGAAGAAGGUCUUCGGAUUGUAAAGCACUUUCGACGCGGACGAUGAUGACGGUACCCGUAGAAGAAGCCCCGGCUAACUUCGUGCCAGCAGCCGCGGUAAUACGAAGGGGGCUAGCGUUGCUCGGAAUGACUGGGCGUAAAGGGCGCGUAGGCGGUUUAUGCAGUCAGAUGUGAAAUCCCCGGGCUUAACCUGGGAACUGCAUUUGAGACGCAUAGACUAGAGGUCGAGAGAGGGUUGUGGAAUUCCCAG